AUUUAUUUAUUUAGAGAUGAGGUCUCACUAUGUUGAGCAGGCUAAACUCAAAUUCCUGGGCUCAAGCAAUCUUCCUGCCUCAGCCUCCCAAGUAGCUGGGAUUACAGGCAUGUGCCAUCACAUCCAGCUAUAGUGCAUGUUGUCACAUCUGGGCAUGAUGACUGGUUCUUGACCUACACUGGUUCUUGAGGAGAGUAAAGAUCACCUGGUGGCCACAAGCAGAUCAUCUGGAGGCAAAACUCCUUAUCUGAGGACAAAAUCAACUCACUUCAAGAAUGACUGAGGGGAACACACCCCAAGGAUGAAGUCACCAAGCCUCUGAAUUAAUGCACCACGGGACCACCCUGCAUCAGGUUUUCUUGUUAUGUGUUAUUUAACCUUUUUGGGUAUAAGUUCAAGUUUUUGGUUACUUGUAGCUGAAAGCAUACACAAGCCAACUACAAAAAUAAUAUUCAAUGCUAAAUACACUAGGAAUAAAAUCUAAAGGAAAGAGCAUUGCCUUUAAGACAGUUCCAAAAAUUGUAGGCGUGAGACUCUUCCCCAGCCAGGCACUGUACUUUAGAGGAUCUUCUCUUGCUCUCUUUCACACACAUCACUUUCACAGAAGGUGAGGAGGGCCCAGGUGUCUGUAUAUGGCAUCCACACCUUUCCUAGACCAUGCACUGAGUACCUGGGAUGCCAGAAUUCUCUGACCUAACUCUGCCCAGAUCAGAUCUCUGGAGGAGGGGACCAGAUUGCAUCAUUGGUGUGUAGGCUCCAAGGCCCGAGGAGUGUUCAAAGGAUUCCUGGGGCUUUGAUGUGUGUAUCAAUGGCCCCAGUGCACGUGCAUGAGGCCCCUUGCAAUGCUGGAGGGACUGUGAUGAAGGCAGAAAGAAAAGGGGACCUACACUUGUUCUCGAUGAGAGCAAAGAUCACCUGGUGGCCAUCAAGCAGGUCAUCUAGAGGCAAAACUCCUUAUCUGAGGAAUUCAGAAGUAAUUAGACUUCUAGAAUUUCUAUACAUUUCUGGAAUGCAAGCAUGUCGAAACCCAUUGUACAACCUUUGCCGACAUAAAGGCACCAAAACAUCCACAAAUGUUAAUCAUUUCUCAUGACCAAUGUGACUAAUAUGGUCCAAAUCACCCUUCAGCUCCUGCGUUAAGUCCACAAAUACCCCUACGGAAGAUCCAACUGGGCACACUCAGUCCUCUCUUACUGAAGCUGCACUCUGCUGCAGCGUUCCUCCUAUCUAAUAAAACAUUCCUCUUCAAACUUAUA
rnacentral:lncRNA from 10 species